GCCUGGUGUGGUGGCGUGCGCCUGUAGUCCCAGCUACUUGGGAGGCUGAGAUGGGAGGAUGGCUUGAGCCCAGGAGUUGGAGGCUGCAGUGAGCUCUCAUGGCACCACUGCCCUCCAGCCUGGGUGACAGAGCAAGACCCUGUCUCAU
rfam:Pan troglodytes isolate Yerkes chimp pedigree #C0471 (Clint) chromosome 7, whole genome shotgun sequence.